rnacentral:rRNA from 1 species
GGGCCCGCACAAGCGGUGGAGCAUGUGGUUUAAUUCGAUGAUACGCGAGGAACCUUACCAGGGCUUAAAUGUAGUAUGACCGGUCUGGAAACAGGCCUUCCCUUCGGGGCAGAUUACAAGGUGCUGCAUGGUUGUCGUCAGCUCGUGCCGUGAGGUGUUAGGUUAAGUCCUGCAACGAGCGCAACCCCUAUUCUUAGUUGCCAGCGGUUCGGCCGGGGACUCUAAGAAGACUGCCAGCGCAAGCUGAGAGGAAGGUGGGGAUGACGUCAAAUCAUCACGGCCCUUACGUCCUGGGCUACACACGUGCUACAAUGGUAGAGACAGAGGGCAGCCACCUGGCGACAGGGAGCCAAUCCGACAAACCUAGUCGUAGUCCGGAUCGUAGUCUGCAACUCGACUACGUG